UGGAGAGAGAUUAAUUGUUUAAUUUGAGUGUUGUGUGAGUUAGGGAAAGGAAGCUUGAAAAUUCUAGGUUGAAUCUAAGAACCCAGGGCCAGGAAAACCCAAAACAGUUAAAAAACAAAGGGAUGAAUGGUACUGCUUGCCGCUUGGGCGCCCCACUUAGGGCGCCCGGGCGGCGACUUUGCAGGUUGGGUUUUAAGUUCAAAGCUUAAGCGGGUCUGGCCCACUUUCACUCUUUUUAACCCCAAGGGUCUUGCCUAAGCCCCCAUUUUCUGAUUUCCCUCAACCUAGCCUCUUUAAACACUCCUGCCAAGUGCCCUCUUCACUUCCUC
rnacentral:lncRNA from 1 species